GCAGUGGUAGCUGAGUGGUUAAGACAUUGGACUUAUGCUUGUAAGGUCGUGAGUUCAAACCUGCUAAGCUGCC